GAAAGCAUCGGGACAUCAAAACAAGCACCACAGCUGAGCGGGCCUUUGCAACCACAGACUUUCUGAUGAAAAGAUUUGUGGAGACUGCCUAAUGAAGUGUUCAGAAGGCAUUCUGUGUGUCAUCUGUUUUCCUGACGACCUCCUCACUGGGUAGAUAAGGGGCAGGAAUUAUUUUCCGUGUUGCACAAAUAGGAAAUGAGGUAUAGUGAGUUUGAGAGAAUUAUUACUCAAAAUAGAAGUGAGUCAGGGGCAGAUUGAGGACUGCACACGACUUCGCUUUAUCCUCUAAUCCUAGACUUGCUGGCAGGCCAGGCCCUAGGUUUUAAGAAAAUACAAUGAUUUCACUUUCACUUUUGUGCUUGUGUGGGUUGUGAUAGAAUCUUUACACUGGAGGAGUUAAUGGGGGGGGGUGUUGUUUUUUUCUUCUUCUUCCUUUUAAACAUUUCCCCCUUUCCAACUUGGUUAAUGCCAACGUCUGUGUUUACUCCAUUCAGUUGAAUUCAAAUACCUGUUUUGCACGAGGCCCUUUUCCAGGCCCGGGAGAGGCACCCAGCUGGGUAAACCCUGGAGGAGCCUUAGAACAAAAGGGCUGAAGGAGAAUUGAAUGGUCUUGCUUACUGUCUUUCGAGUCAUGGGAAAUUUGAGAAUCUGGUGAAAGUUAUGGGUCCUCUCCCUCAAGAAACAAAACAAAACAAACCCAAAAAAACCCACAUAUGUGCACACACACACAAUUUUGCAAUAAUUUUAGAGUGUUUGAAGCUUCUCCCUUCCACUCCCACUUGUCCGUAGAAUGACCUGAGGGUAUUUUUUGGCCUGAAAUGAAAACAGUAAUGCCUUGAAGGAAGCACAAAGCCAUAGUCACUGACUAGAAAGAGAGAUUAGAGAUAAGAUCCAGGUGGGUCAGAGGGGCUGGCGGGGCUGGAGGGAUAGGCAUGUUUGGAAACAGGCCUGUCUAGUUAGAGGGCAGGCAUUCAUCUCUAUGAGGCAGGAUUCUAGCAGAGGGAAGGAGGGUGGGAAGUAGGAAAACUCAAACAAUCCGACAGUUUGGCAGGAGGAAGAUUAUAUGGUGAGGAAUCAUCGGAAUCAUUAGAAACCAUAAUAGAAAGAUAGAGGUCUUAUUGUGAGUGACAUUGGAAGCAAGGUAAUUGUGUUUUUUACAGAUCGAAGUUUCAAGACUUCAGUGGGGGAAGUAACAGCAGAUGUGAAUAUUAGCAAGAGAACUGGAAUUAGCAGUGGAACUGGAAGAUGGGACUGAAUUGUUGUGGUCUCAUGAUAAAACUUGAAUGGAUGAGGCAUUGUUUGUUAAGAAGGAACAAAAAAGAAAGUAGUAUUUGAGAUGGAAUCUACUGGUGAAGAUGCUGUAAUGAUUGCUGAAAUGAUCACAAAGGAUUAGAAUUGACAUGGACUGCGUUAAUAAAGCAGCAACAGGAUUUGAGAAGAUUGACUCCAAUUUUGAAAGAAGUUAAACUGUGGGUGAAAUGCAAUCAUUUCUACAUCUCACAGAUAAAUCACCCAUGAAGUCAAUUGAUGUGGCAGACUUUAUGGUCAGUCAGUAGCCAUCAGUACUGAGGCGACACCCUCCACCAGCAAAAAGAUUAUGAUUCUCCCAAAUCUCAGAUGAUGGUUAGCCUUUUUUACCAGUCUUUUUUAAUUAAGAUGAUUGUUUUCGGCUUGAUGUUAUUGCACACUUAGUAGCGCACAGUAUAGUGUAAAUAGAGCUUUUAUAUGUACCAGGAAACCAAAAAAAAAAUAUUUGAGUUACUUUAUUUGCCUGUAUUUUUCUGGUAGGUGUGCUAGAUUUGGGCCACAAAACAAUGGCAGAAAUAAGGAGCAAGGUGAAUGGUGUUUCUCAUUCUUGCAUGCAAACAUCCAUCCAUCCCACUAACACAGAUGAUGCACUACUUACACAGCAGUUGUUGCCAUAGGAAGAAGAAUCAAACAAAAUUCCCUGCCUCCAGAAGUUCAAGGUUGAUGCUGGGGAGAGACACAUAAAUAUAGUCUCAGAAACAAGUGCUAAUAAAAUUUUACAUACUAUG